GGACGCCUGGCGAAAUGGCAUCGCGUCUGACUACGAUAACGUCAUCAGGAGAUUGCAGGUUCGAGACCUGCGGUGUUCA